CAAGACAGACGGAUGGUCGCGGGGCGCGUAAGCGUCACGAGGAAAGUCCGGGCUUCACAGGGCAGGAUGCCGGAUAACGUCCGGUGGAGGCGACUCCCAGGCCAGUGCAACAGAAAUGAUACAGCCGGCGUUUGCCGGUAAUGGUGAAAUGGCAGUGUAAGAGACUACCGCCCCUCCGGUAACGGAGGGGGCAGAUGUAAACCCCAUCCGAAGCAAGACCAAAUGGAAAGCGAUACGCUUGCCCGGUGUGCUUUCAGGUAGGUCGCUCGAGCCGUGUGGUAACAUACGGCCUAGAAAGAUGAUCAUCCCGGUCCGCAAGGACUACGACAUAACCCGGCUUAUAGUCUGUCUUGGUAU
rnacentral:RNase_P_RNA from 1 species